AAAAAAAAAAUCAAAAAUACCCCUUCAACAUAUUGUAAUUCAAGUGGUCUGAAUGGUAACUAGACUUCUGCAAUACAUUGUGGUUUAAAUUUCAUAAUAGAAAAUAGUCCAUAUAGGAAGUAAGACCAAGUGGUGCAAUCAUCUAAGUAGAGGACUUUCAUAUGGGGGGGAUGGAAAUGGACUCUUACGUUAAGCCAAAAUGUAACGCUGACUAUGAAUCACAUACAUAUAAUCAUAGUUGUGUAAUGAGAGGGGCGUAGAUGUAGAUCUGUCUACCACACAUUUAAUUAUAUUGUUUCACUUAAAAAAAACAAGAAAAAACUAAAGUUUAAAACAUUACAGUAAGUGUAGAUACUUUCCAAGAUGUGGAUUUUAUAGAUUUACUCAUAAAAGAAAUACGUUAAUCUUGUUUGUACAUUUUUAGCAUAUCUUGUGAAAGAACGACAAUCGUGAGAGACUUUUAGUGGAAAGCAUGUGUUUUUUUAGUACCAUUAUUAGUAUCAGUGUUACUUAUCUUGAGCCCUAAUCCAAGGGAAGUUACACUGCGGUAAAGCUCAUCAGCCACUGUCGUCACAGUUUUACACACUGUCACUACACCAAAGCCACAGGAAGCAUCUAAAUAAUUUUCACUACACUCCGAUCCCAUUGAGACCCUGUAAGAACUGUAAGAAAAUGAGGCCGGUAAAGAUUGUUUAUCCUCACUUUAUUCCACAUUCUUCAUCUUUGCUGUAACUUGCAACAGAGCAAUUCUUUUAUUUCCUUUUCUUACAGGAAGUGGCUGGCAGUUGGCCUGCAAAUCAAAGAGACAACACUAGAGUCAAAGAAUCACCUUCACAUCGAACUGCCAAUGUGUCUCAGGUGGACCAACCCCACUCAGCAGGCUAUAAAAUGAAACCAUCCUCUGUUCAGCCCAUUCAGUCGCAGGCCCCGUCAGCUCCUUCGAGGAAGCCGCAAAACAGAUCAUCGAAAAACAUUUGCCCACCUUUUAAGCAAAACCAUUUCUCUCAGUACCAGCGUCAGUCCUCCAGCCCUGGUAAUUUCUGCUAUCCUGCCACACCUAGAAUCAACAUGCACUUCUGCAACGUAGUUGGAUUACAACUUGGUGACAACAACACCAUGCACAUCUGCGCCACAGAUCCUUUAGAGCGGAAGAGGCACCCAACAGCACCAUCUGCCGUUAACGUCCCUCUGCCACACUUGGGAGGCUGGGGGAACAAGGCUGGAGGAGUUGGCUGAGUGUGUUGUCUAAUCUUCCCUCUUUCUUUUUAACUUCUCAAAUUUGAGAUCAUAUUUAAGGGUUUUUUUUUUGCAUGUUUGUUUUUAAAAAAAUCUGUUGUAGUGGACUUUUAUAUCUGGACAGGUUUCUGAAAAAGCUUUUUGUUUUCUAUUAUUUUCUGUAUUUAUUCUGUUUAUUUUGUUUGAAAUGCUGAAACCAGUGAAAAAAACAUCACACCUUUCUUUUGCACUGUCAGCAGUAGAAUUAUGGGCCAAGUCUGGUCAUAUGGUUGAUGCUUUUUCACCUACUGUGGUCAACAAAUAUCCAAAGACACAGUGCCAGGAAAUCAUCUUAAGCCAGAAAUUGCCUUAACGGCAGACUGACUAUUAAUCACAACAAGUCAAUAUGUGUUAUAAAACCAAACGUAGGAUUUGCAUUAAUGCACAGGUCUCC